rnacentral:rRNA from 1 species
GACGAACGCUGGCGGCGUGCUUAACACAUGCAAGUCGAACGGAAAGGCCCUGCUUUUGUGGGGUGCUCGAGUGGCGAACGGGUGAGUAACACGUGAGUAACCUGCCCUUGACUUUGGGAUAACUUCAGGAAACUGGGGCUAAUACCGGAUAGGAGCUCCUGCUGCAUGGUGGGGGUUGGAAAGUUUCGGCGGUUGGGGAUGGACUCGCGGCUUAUCAGCUUGUUGGUGGGGUAGUGGCUUACCAAGGCUUUGACGGGUAGCCGGCCUGAGAGGGUGACCGGCCACAUUGGGACUGAGAUACGGCCCAGACUCCUACGGGAGGCAGCAGUGGGGAAUAUUGCACAAUGGGCGGAAGCCUGAUGCAGCAACGCCGCGUGCGGGAUGACGGCCUUUGGGCUGUAAACCGCUUUCGCCUGUGACGAAGCGUGAGUGACGGUAAUGGGUAAAGAAGCACCGGCUAACUACGUG